rnacentral:misc_RNA from 1 species
AAGGAUCAUUAACGAGUUUGAAAGGAGUUGAUGCUGGCCUUCUGGGGCAUGUGCUCGCUCUGCUCAUCCAUCUACACCUGUGCACCUAUUGUGGGUCUGGUUGACGGGUUGGAAACAACCUGAGAUGCCGUCCUACGUUUUUACAUACACUAUACAAGUUCAGAAUGUCUACCUGCGAUAAUACGCAUUUUAAUACAACUUUCAACAACGGAUCUCUUGGCUCUC